rnacentral:lncRNA from 1 species
GCUCAAUUGCUACUCAUCAUUUUACUGAUGGAUAAUCUAGAGGAGACUCCUGUGCCUUGACACAAGGAGAACAGAGGAGACUGGGUUACCCACAGGAAGAGUAAGAAUAAACUUUAGCAAAUGGAAAGAUAAAUCACUAUUGAAGAGUUAUGAACGUUGGUUGCAUUUUACUUAACAUUUAAUCUCAAUGCUGCUUCAGAACUGGUUACUAUUUAAUAAAUCAUUUAAAGAUUAUUUUGAUUGUUAGUUAAAACCUGUCAUUCAUGCUAAUUUCUGUUCAACUGAAUGUUAAUGAACAUUUCUU